rnacentral:rRNA from 1 species
CAACAGCUCAAAUUUGAAAUCUGGCCCUCUCGGGGUCCGAGUUGUAAUUUGUAGAGGGUGCUUCGGGCGCGAUGCCGGUCUAAGUUCCUUGGAACAGGACGUCGUAGAGGGUGAGAAUCCCGUAUGCGACCGGCGAUCAAGCCCGUGCGAAGCCCCUUCGACGAGUCGAGUUGUUUGGGAAUGCAGCUCAAAAUGGGUGGUAAAUUUCAUCUAAAGCUAAAUACCGGCCAGAGACCGAUAGCGGACAAGUAGAGUGAUCGAAAGAUGAAAAGCACUUUGGAAAGAGAGUCAAACAGUACGUGAAAUUGUUGAAAGGGAAGCGCUUGCAAUCAGACCGGUCCGGAGGCGAUCAGCCGCUGCUCGUCAGCGGUGCACUCGCCUGCGAUCCGGCCAGCAUCGGUUUGGGCGGCGGGAUAAAAGUCCCGGGAAUGUAGCUUCUCCCGGGGAGUCUUAUAGCCCGGGUCGCAAUGCCGCCCGCCCGGACCGAGGACCGCGCUUCGGCUAGGAUGCUGGCGUAAUGGUUGCAAGCG